GAUUAACGCUAGCGGCAGGCCUAAUACAUGCAAGUCGAACGGGAUUUCGGGUAGCAAUAUCUGAAUGAGAGUGGCGCACGGGUGCGUAACGCGUAUGCAAUCUACCUUUAACUGGGGAAUAGCCCUCCGAAAGGAGGAUUAACACCGCAUAAUACUACGAUGGGGCAUCUCAAUGUAGUCAAAACUCAGGUGGUUAAAGAUGAGCAUGCGUCCGAUUAGCUAGUUGGUGAGGUAAUGGCUCACCAAGGCGACGAUCGGUAGGGGGUCUGAGAGGAUGAACCCCCACACUGGGACUGAGACACGGACCAGACUCCUACGGGAGGCAGCAGUAAGGAAUAUUGGACAAUGGGCGCAAGCCUGAUCCAGCUAUGCCGCGUGAAGGAUGACGGCCCUAUGGGUUGUAAACUUCUUUUAGCAGGGAAAAAACCCCUCGAUGCGUUGAGGGCUGAUGGUACCUGCAGAAUAAGGAUCGGCUAACUCCGUGCCAGCAGCCGCAGUAAAAC
rnacentral:rRNA from 1 species